rnacentral:pre_miRNA from 1 species
UAUAAUAUUUUGACUUUCGUCUUAUUUGAAAUUAUUUUAUGAUUAAUAUUUUUAUUCUUAUUGGAUGAUAAAAACAUGAAUAGUACUUUAUGUGUGAUUAAUUUUUUAAAUUUUUUAUAUAAAUUUUUUAAAUAAGACGAAUAGUUAAACGUUGGACACGGAAA